ACAGCAGCCGCCGCGGGAAUACGAAGGGUGCAAACGUUGCUCGGAAUUAUUGGGCGUAAAGGGUGCGUAGGCGGACUGAUAAGUCAGGGGUGAAAUCCCAAGGCCCAACCUUGGAACUGCCUUUGAUACUGUUAGUCUUGAGUUCGAGAGAGGUGAGUGGAACUGCGAGUGUAGAGGUGAAAUUCGUAGAUAUUCGCAAGAACACCAGUGGCGAAGGCGGCUCACUGGCCCGGAACUGACGCUGAGGCGCGAAAGCGUGGGGAGCAAACAGGAUUAGAUACCCCGGUAGUCCCUGUCUCUUAUAC
rnacentral:rRNA from 1 species